rnacentral:rRNA from 1 species
GGCGGGUGCUAACACAUGCAAGUCGAACGGGACCAGGGCAAUCUGGUUCAGUGGCGAACGGGUGUGUAACACGUGAGGAACAUGACUUUCGGCGGGGGAUAGCCGGCCCAACGGCCGGGUAAUACCGCGUACGACCUCUCGGGGACAUCCCCGGUUGGUGAAAGCAGCAAUGCACCGAAAGAGUGCCUCGCGGCCUAUCAGCUAGUUGGUGGGGUAACGGCUCACCAAGGCGACGACGGGUAGCUGGUCUGAGAGGAUGGCCAGCCACAUUGGGACUGAGACACGGCCCAGACUCCUACGGGAGGCAGCAGUGGGGAAUAUUGCGCAAUGGGCGAAAGCCUGACGCAGCGACGCCGCGUGUGGGAUGACGGCCUUCGGGUUGUAAACCACUGUCGGGAGGGACGAAUGCGCCGCAAGGCGAGUGACGGUACCUCCAAAGGAAGCACCGGCUAACCCCGUGCCAGCAGCCGCGGUAAUACGGAGGGUGCGAGCGUUGUCCGGAAUCACUGGGCGUAAAGGGCGCGUAGGCGGNCCGAUAAGUAGGGGGUGAAAUCCUGCGGCUUAACCGCAGGGCUGCCUUCUAAACUGUCGGGCUAGAGCACGGUAGAGGCAGA